GAUGAACGCUGGCGGCGUGCCUAAUACAUGCAAGUCGAGCGAACAGACAAGGAGCUUGCUCCUUUGACGUUAGCGGCGGACGGGUGAGUAACACGUGGGUAACCUACCUAUAAGACUGGGAUAACUUCGGGAAACCGGAGCUAAUACCGGAUAAUAUUUCGAACCGCAUGGUUCGAUAGUGAAAGAUGGUUUUGCUAUCACUUAUAGAUGGACCCGCGCCGUAUUAGCUAGUUGGUAAGGUAACGGCUUACCAAGGCGACGAUACGUAGCCGACCUGAGAGGGUGAUCGGCCACACUGGAACUGAGACACGGUCCAGACUCCUACGGGAGGCAGCAGUAGGGAAUCUUCCGCAAUGGGCGAAAGCCUGACGGAGCAACGCCGCGUGAGUGAUGAAGGUCUUCGGAUCGUAAAACUCUGUUAUUAGGGAAGAACAUACGUGUAAGUAACUAUGCACGUCUUGACGGUACCUAAUCAGAAAGCCACGGCUAACUACGUGCCAGCAGCCGCGGUAAUACGUAGGUGGCAAGCGUUAUCCGGAAUUAUUGGGCGUAAAGCGCGCGUAGGCGGUUUUUUAAGUCUGAUGUGAAAGCCCACGGCUCAACCGUGGAGGGUCAUUGGAAACUGUAAAACUUGAGUGCAGAAGAGGAAAGUGGAAUUCCAUGUGUAGCGGUGAAAUGCGCAGAGAUAUGGAGGAACACCAGUGGCGAAGGCGACUUUCUGGUCUGUAACUGACGCUGAUGUGCGAAAGCGUGGGGAUCAAACAGGAUUAGAUACCCUGGUAGUCCACGCCGUAAACGAUGAGUGCUAAGUGUUAGGGGGUUUCCGCCCCUUAGUGCUGCAGCUAACGCAUUAAGCACUCCGCCUGGGGAGUACGACCGCAAGGUUGAAACUCAAAGGAAUUGACGGGGACCCGCACAAGCGGUGGAGCAUGUGGUUUAAUUCGAAGCAACGCGAAGAACCUUACCAAAUCUUGACAUCCUUUGACAACUCUAGAGAUAGAGCCUUCCCCUUCGGGGGACAAAGUGACAGGUGGUGCAUGGUUGUCGUCAGCUCGUGUCGUGAGAUGUUGGGUUAAGUCCCGCAACGAGCGCAACCCUUAAGCUUAGUUGCCAUCAUUAAGUUGGGCACUCUAAGUUGACUGCCGGUGACAAACCGGAGGAAGGUGGGGAUGACGUCAAAUCAUCAUGCCCCUUAUGAUUUGGGCUACACACGUGCUACAAUGGACAAUACAAAGGGCAGCGAAACCGCGAGGUCAAGCAAAUCCCAUAAAGUUGUUCUCAGUUCGGAUUGUAGUCUGCAACUCGACUACAUGAAGCUGGAAUCGCUAGUAAUCGUAGAUCAGCAUGCUACGGUGAAUACGUUCCCGGGUCUUGUACACACCGCCCGUCACACCACGAGAGUUUGUAACACCCGAAGCCGGUGGAGUAACCAUUUGGAGCUAGCCGUCGAAGGUGGGACAAAUGAUUGGGGU
rnacentral:rRNA from 1 species